AUUGAACGCUGGCGGCAGGCCUAACACAUGCGAGUCGAGCGGUAGCACAGAGAGCUUGCUCUCGGGUGACGAGCGGCGGACGGGUGAGUAAUGUCUGGAAAACUGCCUGAUGGAGGGGGAUAACUACUGGAAACGGUAGCUAAUACCGCAUAACGUCGCAAGACCAAAGUGGGGGACCUUCGGGCCUCAUGCCAUCAGAUGUGCCCAGAUGGGAUUAGCUAGUAGGUGGGGUAACGGCUCACCUAGGCGACGAUCCCUAGCUGGUCUGAGAGGAUGACCAGCAACACUGGAACUGAGACACGGUCCAGACUCCUACGGGAGGCAGCAGUGGGGAAUAUUGCACAAUGGGCGCAAGCCUGAUGCAGCCAUGCCGCGUGUGUGAAGAAGGCCUUCGGGUUGUAAGGCACUUUCAGCGGGGAGGAGGGCGGUGAGGUUAAUAACCUCAUCGAUUGACGUUACCCGCAGAAGAAGCACCGGCUAACUCUGUGCCAGCCGCCGCCGUAACAC
rnacentral:rRNA from 1 species